rnacentral:rRNA from 1 species
CCUACGGGAGGCAGCAGUAAGGAAUAUUGGUCAAUGGAGGCAACUCUGAACCAGCCAUGCCGCGUGCAGGAAGAAGGCCCUAUGGGUCGUAAACUGCUUUUGUACCAGAGAAAACCCGAGUACGUGUACUCGGUUGAUAGUAUGGUAAGAAUAAGCAUCGGCUAACUUCGUGCCAGCAGCCGCGGUAAGACGAAGGAUGCAAGCGUUAUCCGGAUUCAUUGGGUUUAAAGGGUGCGUAGGCGGACUGAUAAGUCAGUGGUGAAAUCUCUCGGCUUAACCGAGAAACUGCCAUUGAUACUGUUAGUCUAGAGUAUAGAUGACGUUGGCGGAAUAUGACAUGUAGUGGUGAAAUACUUAGAUAUGUCAUAGAACACCGAUUGCGAAGGCAGCUAACGAAACUAUAACUGACGCUGAGGCACGAAAGUGCGGGGAUCAAACAGGAUUAGAUACCCUGGUAGUCCGCACCGUAAACGAUGAUUACUCGUUGUUGGCAAUAUGACCGUCAGCGACCAAGCGAAAGCGAUAAGUAAUCCACCUGGGGAGUACGCCGGCAACGGUGAAACUCAAAGGAAUUGACGGCGNGAGAGAGCGAGACGACGACGAGGGAGGAGG